rnacentral:rRNA from 1 species
UCGGGAAUUUUGCGCAAUGGGCGAAAGCCUGACGCAGCAACGCCGCGUGUGGGAUGAAGGCCUUCGGGUUGUAAACCUCUUUUCUCAGGGAAGAUGAUGACGGUACCUGAGGAAUAAGCCACGGCUAACUACGUGCCAGCAGCCGCGGUAAUACGUAGGUGGCAAGCGUUGUCCGGAUUUACUGGGCGUAAAGAGCGCGCAGGCGGUCGGACAAGUCGCGUGUGAAAGCCCCCGGCUCAACUGGGGAGGGUCACGCGAUACUGUUCGGCUUGAAGGCAGGAGAGGGAAGUGGAAUUCCCGGUGUAGUGGUGAAAUGCGUAGAUAUCGGGAGGAACACCAGUGGCGAAGGCGACUUCCUGGCCUGUUCUUGACGCUGAGGCGCGAAAGCUAGGGGAGCAAACGGGAUUAGAUACCCCGGUAGUCCUAGCCGUAAACGAUGGACACUAGGUGUUGGUGGUAUCAACCCCGCAGUGCCGAAGCUAACGCAUUAAGUGUCCCGCU